UGAAAACACCAGUUUUCACGCACCAAAUCGGCACGUCCACUUUCGCGCUUAGUGUUGGUGACGGUGCAGCGGCACAGCCUGUCCGUGGGUGGCUGGUGGAGGUGUCGGUCAGCUCUGUGUCCGUGGAAAGCAAUUUGGCCACGCUCAUCAUGAACACUCUCUUCCGUUGCUUUGACCCAAUAAUUCCCCGUCUAGAAAAAGAAAAGUAUCACAAGGAAACCAGAAAGUCACAUUUAUGUAACUGUCAUCACAGUAUAAUUUACAAUAAGGGAAAAGCUGGGAACAACCCACUUUUGUAAGAGCAGAGGUGAUAAACUAAAUGUAGUGACCCAGGCUAUAAGUCGGCAGCGUUUCAGAGACGUAGACAGAGCCGAGCACUGCGGUGCUAAGUGAGAAAGGCGAGAUGAAAAGCUACAAAAACGGAACACUUGUGAAUUUACGAAAAUCGUGUAUUAAUAUAUAUUAUAUACAAAAUAUUUUAUGUGUAUUCAACAUAUAUUUAAAUAGACAUUAUAUGUGUCUAUCCUGGAAGGAAAAUCAGAUGAGAUGGUAGUAGCAAUCCCUUGGUGAGGAGGUUUAAUGGGUAAUUUUAAAAGGUGUAUUAUUUUAUAUGUUCCAAAUUUCUAAAGAUAUCUUCUUCUUUCAUAAUUUCAGAAAAUAAUAAAGGUCUUUCCCCAAGAAGCAAUUUGCCCACCUACUGUACUUGUGUCCUGACAAUAUUAUCACGAGACUGUUUUAAGGCUGCAGUUCAUUAAGCAUUCUAGACAACGCACGCCCUCGUCUUCACCCAGACAGGCAGCUCCCAGGAUCACUCUGCACCCAGAGGGCUCCCGAGCCAUGGUGGCCUUUCCCAGGACGCGCUCAGGGCCAGGAUGUAAAGGUCCCUGCCAGCUGAUGGUGCCAACUGUGCCUCUUUAAGUGCAGGAGCCCCUGAAAAUCAGCCGAAUCAAUCACAGAGUUACAGCCUGAGGUUAACACUUUGGCACGGCCAGAUUUCAAAAGGGGAUCAUGAAAAUCAUGGCUGGGGGACUGGCCACAGCUGGGUUGCUUGUGCUGAAACGUUGGCCAAGAGGUCACCUUCAGAGGUAGGAAGACAGGCAAAUGUUCUCAGCUGAUUCAACGGAGCAGCCCAGUUUCAAAGUAUGUCAGAGUUCAUAGAUCUGCUUGCUGGGUGUUCUGCUGCCUAUGUGUGUAAAUAUAGGCAGUGCAGUGAGACUUCUAAGCCCUGAAACAGAAAAUAGGCAUCCACGGAAAUACAAUUCCACAGACAAAGGCUCUUGUGAGAUCACAAGUUUAAGUCCUUGUUGGAUGCUCAGGAUGGCGGGCAUGGAGGGUUGUCUCUGCUGUAACCGCGCGAAUGUCUCAACUCCCUCGACAUUUCUUGAGCUUCUUCACCUGAGAGCUGGGGAUCACACUGUCCCCUAGAGCUGGCGCCUGUCCCUAGAGCUGGCUGUGAGCACUGAAUGAGGAAAUGUGCACAUGGGAGGAGCCCGGCGCCUGGCUUGGGUCCCGCUGAUGCAGUAUCCUUCCCUACCCAUCUAUGCACCCCCACUUGGUAGCAUAAUAUCUUACAGAUAGAGCAGGAGCUUCAUCCGUGUUUGUUGAUGGUCCUGAGGGGGAGGGACUUUCUCCAUCUCACUCGCUCUUGAAUUUGUCGAGUCCACUGGGUCUGGAAGGAUCCCAGGCACAGGUGGGUUCUCCACUCUGUCUGUUGCCAGCUCCGUGGACAGGUGAGGGCAUGGGUACAGUGUUCAGUCUUCUCCUGUCCACAAUGGCUGGGUUUUCCUCUGUGAUUAUAUACAAAUUUGAUUUUUUUUUUUUUUUGAGAUAGAAACUCGCUCUGUCGCCCAGGCUGGAGUGCAGCGGUGUGAUCUCAGCUCUCUGCAACCUCCACCUUCCAGGUUCAAGGGGUUCUUCUGCCUCAGCCUCACAAGUAGCUGGGAUUACAGGUCAAGAACAUACAAUGCUUACAACACAAUCUGAGUGAAGACUCCUUCUACAUUUCUGAGAGAUUUUCCCAAUCUUUUAUGGUGAUUGUAUCCAAUCUUAAUUUCACAGUAACUGUGGUGGACGGCAUCCAGACGCGGAGGGAAGUUUCCUCCUGGGGAGCAGCGCACGUGCUGCCUGGAGACAGAAGCGAAGAUCAGAUUGCACGUGUGUGGAACGUGGCCGCAGCACCAGUUCUGAGCUCCACGAUUUGCCGGAGCAUGACUCUGUUCUUCAUGAAAAUUAUUAUAAAGAGUGCUUCCAGGAGGCUGAGGCAGGAGAAUCGUUUGAACCCGGGAGGCAGAGGUUGCAGUGAGUGGAGAUCGCGCCACUGCACUCCCAGCCUGGGCAACAGAGAGAGACUCCGUCUCAAAAAAAAAAAAAAAAAAAGAGUGCUUCCUCAUUAAAUCAAGAAAGACACACACACAAGUGAACUGGAAGAGUAUCACACCCUCUUAGGCCUCAAUAUCCACAACAUCACUGGCCACAGCUUUUAGUUUCAGGAGGUGAGAUAUGAAAACAAACCUAAUGGGCAAAGCAGAUCUAAACAGGGUAAGACCUGGAGCCCCGGCCCCAUGCAGCCUGCAGAAGGUGAGUGAGGUCGGCCUCCCCUCAUUCCACAGUUGCCUCUUUCCAGAGACCCUGGGUGUCUGGAGGGAUAUAGAGUGAUGUGGCCAGGCGCUGUGCCCGGGGAAAUGACAUUAAAAUUAGUAAUAGUAGGGGAAAAAAAAGAAAUACUUUCCUUUACAGACAACAGAAUGCAACUUGAGGCAAUCCAUUCUAUACAUACAGUCUCAGAAACGAUUCCAGAUUUCCGACCUGCGUGUUUUGUUUCUUUGUUUGUUUAUGUCAAGACUUUACAAUUUGCCAUGAAUCAAAAACACACGCACUCAGGGGAUAGAAAGAAAUAUUCAGAAAGAGUUUGAGUGGAAUUUGGAUUAGGUUGGGUGUUUUUUGACUCCGAGUCCUGUGUCCAAGUGACAGCUGCUGUGCCAUAAUAAUAGAUCAGCUUACAAUACGUAGAUAUAGACAGGCAGACAAUAGACAAUCUGUGUAUGAAACAGGCUGCCUAAAAAUGCUGAUUAUCUAAAAGCUUGUGAGCCUACGUCAUCAAAGCCAUCUCACCAGGUGAGUGUUCACUCUUCCCUCAGCGGGCCCUCCCAGAAGUCAUGUUAAGCAGUUUCUGACGGUAUUCAUAUUUUAAUCCUCAGAAGCCCUGGAGGCUCUCACCUCCCACUUCAGGCUGCCCAAAGUCACAGAGCCUGUGACUCCAGGACUCAUCUUUCAACAAACGCUUUGGUUGGCCAGCGCUUCCUUUUACCGUCAGCCGCCCCUGCCCGGGACACUUGCAGAGCUGCUCAGGGGACUUUGUGGGUCUCAUUGAGGCUGUAUUUGCGGAUUCAAUUACGCAUUUUUAAUUCCGCAAAUAUUUGCCACUGCUGCCUGACCUGGAGCCUGUGCGUGCAGAUCCUUUGAUCGAAAGCCGCCUGCCUGUAGAUCAGACCCCGUGGUGAGUGGUGACAGCCCACGGGUGGGGAGGCAGAUCACCCUGCUGGGUUGCUGGGGGAGGCUGUGUGGAGGCCAUAGGGUCUGAGCAAUAUACUAAGACCUAGUUAAAGAUUUGCAGCGAGAGAAUCCAUGAAACAUGAAACACGGAGGCUGUGGGGGGUCGAGUUAGGACUCUGGAUGGCCACAUCCUGACCCCCAGAACAUGCAACCACCGCCUUGUAUGGAAAGGGGGCUUUGCGGAUGUGAUGGGGCUGAGGCUCCUGAGAUGGGUGAUUUUCUUGGAUGAUCCUGGCGGGCCAAUGAAAUCACAGGGUGCUUCUGAGAGGGAGGGAGGACAGCAGAGAGGGGAAGGUGAUGUGGCUACAGAGCCAGAGAUGACGGAAAGGGCUGCCAGCCCAGGGGUCCAGGUACCACCGGAAGAAGGAAAGACAGAGACAUGGGGUCUCCCCAUGCCCAGCCCUGCAGAGACCCUGAAUUCAGCGCAGGGGUACUGAUUUGGGGGUUAUAGCCUCCAGAACUGUGAGAGAAUAAGUCUCCGUUGUCUUAAGCCACCGAGUGUGUGGUACGUGUUAUGGCAGCCACAUAGCAGGUGUGAGGAAGCUGGAGAAGGGACUGAAGAUGGGGUGCAGCUGGGACCACCCUGCUGGGCUAAGGCCAGUUCUGGAAAGAGACUGGACAGCUCUCCCUCAGGCGCAGGGAGGGAGGAACCCGUGAGUCAGCGGAGGGUGGGAGGAAACGUGGGAGGAGCCUCCGACAUCCUAGAAACGCGGGGGUACAAAAGCCGGCACCGGCCUGCGAGGGGGAAAGCCGGCCUCUUACGCCCUGGAAGAGGAAACUCACAGAGAUUCCCACAACUACACCCAGCUGUGCAGGAGGCCCACGUCCUGUCUCAUUUCAUUUUCUCCUCUCGGUGAACCAAAAGAGAAGAAAAUGCCAGGAGCAGAAGGUCAAAGGGAAGCAUCGAGAGAAAGAGGAUGAAUUGACACCUGUGGCUAAUUGAAGUGAAAUCAGAUCACAGAGGCCAUGAGACCCAUGUCCAGAGGGCCCUAGGAGGGAGCUGUGGGCUCAGCUGGUUGAUUUACUCUGGCUUGGGUCGCUCCUACUGCUUUGAGGACAAUAAGCUUGGCCAUCACCAGACACCAGAGGAUGCUGAAGGCACAGCCGGCUAGACUAUUUCAUGGACUCUCUGAGCAUGUCCUAUUGCAGUCCAGGUACAAACUUUUCCUCCAGAAAUAGACAGAGGGAUGCUGCUUCCCAAUUUCAGCAAAGGCAGUGGAAAGAUCCCGGUCAAAAGUAGAAACUCUGGGUCCAGGCCUUCCAGCUGACACUCACUCUGAUAUGGUUUGGCUGUGUUCCCACCCAAAUCUCAACUUGAAUUGCAUCUCUCAGAAUUCCCACGAGUUGUAGGAGGGAUCCAGGUGGAGGUAAUUGAAUCAUGGGGUGGGUCUUUCCCAUGCUAUUCUCAUGAUAGUGAAUAAGUCUCACCAGCUCUCAUGGGUUUAUUAGGGGUUUCCACUUCUGAUUCUUCCUCAUUUUCUCUUGCUGCCACCACGUAAGAAGUGCCUUUUGCCUCCUGCCAUGAUUCUGAGGCCCCCUUAGCCAUGUGGAACUGUAAGUCCAAUUAAACCUCUUUUCCUUCCCAGUCUCAGGUAUGUCUUUAUCAGCAGCAUGAAAACAGACGAAUACAGUAAAUUGGUGCCACUAGAGUGGGCACUGCUGGUAAGAUACCUGAGAAUGUGGAAGCGACUUUGGAACUGGGUAACAGGCAGAGGUUGGAACAGUUUGGAGGGCUCAGAAGAAGACAGGAAAAUGUGGGACAGUUUGAAACUUCCUAGAGACUUGUUGCAUGGUUUUCCCCCAAAUGCUGAUAGCGAUAUGGACAAGAAGGUCCAGGCUGAGGUGGUCUCAGAUGGAGAUGAGGAACUUGUUGGGAACUGGAGCAAACGUGACUCUUGUUAUGUUUUAGCAGAGAGACUGGCAGCAUUUUGCCCCUGCCCUAGAGAUUUGUGGAACUUUGAACUUGAGAGGGAUGAUUUAGGGUAUCUGAUGGAAGAAAUUUCUAAGCAGGAAAGCAUUCAAGAGGUGACUUGGGUAUUGUUAAAGGCAUUCAGUUUUAUCAGGGAAGCAGAGCAUCAAAGUUUGGAAAAUUUGACUAUGAGAUAGAAAACAAAAACCCAUUGUCUGGGGAGAAAUUCAAGAUGGCUACAGAAAUUUGCAGAGGUAGCAGGGAGCCUAAUGUUAAUCCCCAAGACCAUGGGAAAAUGUCUCCAGGCCAUGUCACAGAGCUUCACAGCAGCCCCUCCCAUCACAGGCCUGGAGGCCCUGGAGAAGAAAGUGGUUUCAUGGGCCGGGCCCAGGGCCCCUGUGCUGUGUGCAGCCUAGGGACUUGGUGCCCUGUGUCCCAGCUGCUCCAGUCAUGGCUAAAAGGGGCCAAGGUAUGGCUCAGGCUGUGGCUUCAGAGGAUGGAAGCCCCGAGCCUUGACAAUUUCCACCUGGUGUUGAGCCUGCAGGUGCACGGAGGCCAGGAAUUUAGGUUUGGGAACCUCUGCCUAGAUUUCAGAAGACAUAUGGACAUGCCUGGAUGCCCAAGCAAACAUGUUUUGCAGGGGUGGGACUCCCUUGUAGAACCUCUGCUAGGGCAAUGCAGGAGGGAAAUGUGGGGAGGGAGCCCCCAUACAGAGUCCCUACUGGGGCACUGCCUAGUGGAGCUGUGAGAAGAGGGCCACCGUCCUCCAGACCUCAGAAUGGUAGAUCCACCGUCGGUUUGCACCGUGCACCUGGAAAAGCCACAGACACUCAAUGCCAGCUCAUGAAAGCAGCCAGGAGGGAGGGUGUACCCUGCAAAGCCACAGGGUGGAGCUGCCCAUGACCAUGGGAACCCACCUCUUGCAUCAGCGAGACCUGGAUGUGAGACCUGGAGUCAAAGGAGAUCAUUUUGGAGCUUUAAAAUUUUACUGCCCCACUGGAUUUCUGACUUGCAUGGGGCCUGUAGCCCCUUUGUUUUGGCCAAUUUUUCCCAUUUGAAACAGCUGUAUUUACAAAAUACCUGUACCCCCAUUGUAUCUAGGAAGUAACUAGCCUGCUUUUGAUUUUACAGGCUCAUAGGUGGAAAGGACAUGUUUUGUCUCAGAUGAGACUUUGGACUGUGGACUUCUGGGUUAAUGCUGAAAUGAGUUAAGACUUUUUGGGAAGGCAUGGUUGGUUUUGAAAUGUUGAGGACAUGAGAUAUGGAGGGGCCAGGGGUGGAAUGAUAUGGUUUGGCUGUGUCCCCACCCAAAUACCAACUUGAAUUGUAUCUCCCAGAAUUCCCAUAUGUUGUGGGAGGGUCCCAGAGGGAGGUAAUUGAAUCAUGGGGGCAUCUUUCCUGUGCUAUUCCUAUAAUAGUGAAUGAGUCUCAUGAGAUCUGAUGGGUUUAUCAGGGGUUUCCACUUUUGCUUCUUCCUCAUUUUCUCUUGCCACCACCAUGUAAGAUGUGCCUUUCACCUCCCGCCAUGAUUCUGAGGCCUGCCCAGCCAUGUGGAACGGUAAGUCCAAUUAAACCUCUUUCUUUUCCCAGUCUUGGGUAUAUCUUUAUCAGCAGCGUGAAAACAGACUAAUACACACUCUUUGACAUUUCUUAGCUGUGUGACCUUGGAUAAGUUUCUUACCCUCUCUGAUAUGGCUUAAAUGUUUGUUCCCUCCAAAUCUCAUGCUGAAAUGUGAUCCCCAAUGCUGGAAAUGGGUGCUGGUGAGAGUUUGGGUCAUGGGGGUAGAUCCCUCAUGAUGACUUGGUGCCCUCCUCACAAUAGUGAGUUCACGUUAAAUCUGGUUGGUAAAGAGACUGGGACCCUUCCCCUCUCUCUUACUCCCUUUCUCAUCAUGUGUCUCUCCCUCUGUCUUGCUUGCUUUCUUGCCAUGUGUUGUGUCUGCUCUUCCUUCACCUUCGGCAAUGAGUCAAAGCUCCUGGAGGCCUCCCCAGAAGCUGAGUAGAUGUUGGUGCCAUGCUUGUACAGCCUGCAGAACUGUGAACCAAAUAAACCUUUUUUCUUCAUAAAUUACCCAGCCUCAGGUAUUUCUUUAUAGCAAUGCAAAAAUGGACUAACACAGAAAAUUGGUACUGAGGAGUGGGGCAUUGCUAUAAAGAUACCUGAAGAUGUGGAAGUAGCUAUGGAACUGGGUGACCGGCAGACGUUGGAAGAGUUUGGAGAACUCAAAAGAAGACAGGAAGAUGAGGGAAAGUUUAGAACUUUUUAGAGACUGAUAAGGUGGUUGUGACCAAAAUGCUGAUAGAAAAAUGGACCAUGAAGGCCAGGCUGAUGAAGCCUCAGAUGGAUAUGAGGACGUUAUUGAGAACUGGAACAAAACUCGUGCAUGUUAUGAUCUAGCAGAGAGCUUGGCUGCCUUAUGUCCCUGCCCUAGGAAUCUGGAAGGUUGAACUUAAGACUGAUGACCUAGGGUAUGUGGUGGAGGAAAUUUCUAAGCAGAAAAGCUUUCAAUAUGUGGCCUGGCUGCUUGUAGUAAUCUAAAUCAGAUGUGGGAACAAAGGAAUGUCCCUAAGUUGGAACGUACAAUUAAAAAGGAAGCAAAGCUCAAAGGUUUGAAAAAUUUGCAGCCUGGCCAGGUGGUAGAGAAGAAAAACACUUUUUCAGGAGAGAAAUGCAGGGGGCUGCAGAGAAACUACUUUCUAGAGAGAUUUUCAUAACUAAAAGGGAGCCAAGUGCUAAUAUUCAAGACAACGGGAAAAAGGUCUCGAAAGCUUUGGGACAGCCCCCCCAUCACAGGUCCAGAGGUUUGGGAGGUCAGCAUGGUUUUGGGGGCCCGGCCUGGAUCACCACUGCCCUUUGCCACCUUAGGCAGAUGUUCCCCAUAUCCUCACUGCUUUUCUUCUAGCUGUGGCUCAAAGGUCCCCAGGUAUAGCUUGGGCUGCCACUCUGGAGAGUGUAAGCCAUAAGUGUUGACAGCUUCCACAUGGUGUUAAGCCUGCCAGGUACAUAGAGUGAAAGAGUUGAGGCUUGGGAGCCUCUGCCUAGAUUUCAGAGGAUGCAUGAGAAUGCCUGGGUGCUGCAGGGGUGGAGCCCCCACAGAAAGGCUCUGCUAGGGCACUACAGAGAGGAUAUGUGGAGUGGCAACCCUCACAUAGAGUCCCCACCAGGGAACUGCCUAGUGGAGCUGUGGGAACAGGGCCACCGCCCUCUGGAUUCCAGAAUGGCAGAGCCACUGGCAGGUGGCAAGCUCAGCCUGGGAAAGCUACAGGCACCAGACUCCAACCCAUAAGAGCAGCCUCAUGGGCUGUGCCAAGCAAAGCUGUCAGGGUGGGGAUGCCCAAGGCCUUGGAGGCCCACCAGUUGCACCAGUGUGCUCUGGAUGUGAGACAUGCAGUCAAUGACUGUUUUGGAGCUUUGAGGUUUAAUGUCUGCCCUUCUGGGUUUCAGACUUGUAUGGGGCCUGUUGCUCCUUUCUUUUGGCCAAUUUCUCCUUCUUGGAAUGGGAAUGUUUACCCAAUACCUAUGCCACCACUGUAUCUGGGAAGUAAGUAACUUGUUUUGGAUCUUACAGCUCAUAGGUCAGGAAUGAACUUGCCUUGAGUCUCAGAUGAGGAUCUGGACUUGGAUUGAGUUGAUGCUGAAUGAGUUAAGACUUUUGGGGACUGUUGGGAAAGGGGAAUCAUAUUUUGCAAUGUGAGAAGGAUAUGAGAUUUGGGGGACCAGAGAUGUAAUGAUAUGGUUUGGAUGUUUUGUCCCUCCAAAUCUCCUGUUGAAAUGUGAUCUCCAGUGUUGGGGAUGGGGCCUGCUGGGAGGUGAUUGGGUCAUGGAGUGAAUCCCUCAAGAACGGCUUGGUGCCGUCCUCACAGUAGUGAGUUCACGUGAGAUCUGGUUGUUAGAGUCUGCGACCUUCCCUCUCUCUCAUGCUCCCUUUCUCACCAUGUGACACACUGGCUCCCUUUCUCCAUGAGUAAAAGCUCCUGGAGGCCUCCCCAGAAGCUGAGCAGAGCAGGUGUCAUGCGGAACCGUGAGCCAAUUAAACCUAUUUUCUUUAUAAA